rnacentral:lncRNA from 1 species
CUUCAUUAGGGUUCUUAGUCUUUUCUUGAGCUUCCAAAUGAGAAAAUAUCCUCAAAUUUCAUCUAAAAAGACCUUGAUCUUUUAUUGAGCUACCAAUCAAGAACCCUAAUCCUCAAAUCCUCCUUCAAACCGCACUAGACUUUGCCUAUUUCUGCAAUUUUUUUCCAAAAAUCGAAGAGGCGGGACCACAAUCUUCUAAAAUUUAUUUGACAUGUUAGAUGUGGAGGAACAAGAUGAAGGUUGGAACUUCUUUUUUUUUUUAAGGAUUUUUUGUCCGUAUUCAAAAUCUUUUUUUCUGUAAUCAAAAUAUUGCUUCAUUUUUAACUUUUUACCAGGUGAAGCUGAAUCACAAGAAGUUACUUGAUGGAAUGCUGGCUUUAUGUGGGUCCCACAAAAAAAUUUAGAUUCUUUUAAAGUUCCAACUUUCUAGUUCAGAUUAUUCUAAAGUUACUCUAUUCGGCAUUACUUUCAUAAUGAAACUAGUUGGUAUUAAUGAAACUAGUUGGUAUACUUUUGAUUGUUUAUUUAUGAUUAUAGGUAAAUGAUAGAGUUAUCUAGGAAGGAGUUCUAGGAUUCAGGAUUAAAUAAAGUAGUAUUGGGAUUUUGUUGGUUGUGUUCUAUUGUUUUUAUGGUGAUAUAUAAUUCCUUUCAAUGACAUUUACACUUUUUGUCUAUGAAUAUGUAUAUGGGUUGCUUCCCAUGGCAAUUUUCAAUAUAAUAUUUGGUUUUCGCUCAAAAGGGAAAAAAAUUACUCUGGAAUCGGAUGAGACAUUCAAAUAGAUUUCCAUGUCAUAUUAAUCUAAACCUUUAAGUAAACAGAAAUUAAGACCCCCAAAUUUGAGCAAAAUAUAUUCUAGAGAAUGAGAGUCUUUCCAUAGAGCUCAUCCGUGUUGGGAGAAUCGAAAAUUCUCUUUUGCAAUAUUGGUUUUGCAGUUUGUUGUUACUUUGGAGGACUAUUGGAGUCCAUGGAGGGAGGGUAGACUAAAUAUAAAUCUUUAACUUGAGUAUGUGUUGCUUGAACUUGUCUAGCAGUAUUCAACACAAUCCUCCUCUUUCAUUUGGGCUUUUUCUCCUUCGGUUUUGGGAGGGUUUUAGAUGUUUUUUGCAAGUUUUAUUUUAUUUAUUUUUUAUUUUUAUUUUUGCACUUGAGGUCCUUUCGGUCCUUUAAGUAUAAAUUAAAUCAUAAUGGUCCAAAUGGUGCUACCAAUAAAUAGAAUGACCAUUAGCGAAACAAUCCUAAAACUUCAAUGACCAUUUCUGAAAGUUUGCAAUUUUAGUGACCGUUUUGAAAUUUUUAGGUAAGUUUAGUGACCGUUUGUGAAAUUAACCCAAAAAAUAUUACUAAAAAAUUGUCUAUAAAAAUCUUUAAAAGACCCAACUUAGCCCCCGUUUGAUCCCCAUUAAAUUAAAUUACAUUACAUUCUAUUUUUUUCUCACCUAUAUUCAAUCACACAAUCUUCUAUAAAAUAAUAUUACACGUAAAUCGAAAAAUUUUCUUUUUUUCAACUAUUUAUUUUUAUAAAAAAU